rnacentral:rRNA from 1 species
AUUGAACGCUAGCGGGAUGCUUUACACAUGCAAGUCGAACGAGUGGCGGACGGGUGAGUAAUAUAUCGGAACGUUCCCAGUAGCUUGGGAUAACUACUCGAAACAGUGCUAAUACCGCCUACAAUUGGAUCGGCCGAUAUAGGAUUAGCUAGUUGGUGGGGUAAAGGCUCACCAAGGCAACAAUCCGUAGCUGGUUUGUGAGGACGACCAGCCACACUGGGACUGAGACACGGCGCAGACUCCUACGGGAGGCAGCAGUGGGGAAUAUUGCACAAUGGGCGAAAGCCUGAUGCAGCCAUGCCGCGUGUAUGAAGAAGGCCUUAGGGUUGUAAAGUACUUUCAGUUGGGAGGCGUUACCGACAGAAGAAGCACCGGCUAACUCCGUGCCAGCAGCCGCGGUAAUUC